GGGCGGGCGCCGGACCGCGGUGCGCGGGCGGGGAGUUUGAAGGGGCAAAGGUCACGAGCCUGCGCAGUCCGGCUUCUCGGGGGUCGUGACCCCAUCUGGGGGCAGAGGUCAAGGCCACAUGCAGGGUGUUCGCUGGGGGCGAGGCCCGCCGGCCAGACCUACAGAAGGGGGGGCCAGGGGGAUUGGGGAAAGCAGCAUCUCCGCAAAGGAUCACAGGGUCACACUGGACACACGACUCCCCCGGCUCCCGGGGCGAUGUGGCGGCAGAAAGAGCCAGUCGGCAGCUUUAUCUCUGUUUGCGGCUUUGGGGAGAGCAAUCGCUGCUGGAGACUGUGGCCAGAUCUGGGGUCCCCGUUUUAAAAAGGCUGUUGGAUAGUUGUCGAGGAUGCAGAAAAGAGCCACAAAACUGAUUUGCAGGCUGGAGAAAAUGCAGAGACUCUGAGAGCUCAGUCCGUUUCACUUAUCAGAAAGGAGAUUGAGAGGGGACCAGAUUAGAGCAUCUAAGUAUCUUCACAGGGAGAAAACCCUGGGUCCUGCAGGGCUCUUUGCCCUAGCAGAGAAAGGCAGGACAAGAACCGAUGGUUGGAAACUGAAGCCAGAGAAAAUCACAUUAAAAAUGACAC